CACGCUCCAGCGCGGGCCAGGCCUGGAGGCACAGCCCCGACCCCCGGCACGGGCAGGGCCGAUGCAGACCCCCGUUAGCCAGACUCAAAACCCACCCAGCAGCCGCCUGCACGCCUUGAACCCUGAAGCACAGCUAGCUCUGCCUCCUGCCCCUUCUGGCUUCCUGAGACGGUUCCCUUUAAAACCAGAGCUCUGCAAAAUAUAUAAUUAUAUAGGAAUCAGGCUCAUUUAUAACCUGCUAUAAAUAGCCCCGGGGCUGUCCUCGCUUGCUGCUCAGCCAGAGCAUCGGCUGCGUCGCGGCGGUGCGAGGGGCUGCGGGAGGGCACGGCGCGGGGUGACGCACGGGUCCGAGCACCGCCGCAGAGGUCAGGCGCGGCGGCGAAGCAGCGUUUGGGGUUUCGAAGCUGCUCCUCAAAGGAUUAAAAUAAGUUCUGGAGUUUUUGAGGGCUUUUUCUUUCUUUCUUUCUUUUUUUUUCCUGGUUUUGGAGAGGUGUGGAUGUUUUCUGUUAUUUCCGCCCUGCAUCCCCAUCAGUCUCUCCAGCUGGAUUUACAUCCUGCAGUCAAACUCCCGUUCCCAGUUGAAGUGCCAGGGAAAAGACACGUGACGGGCCGCAGCCGGCGUGCGGCGAGGGCCGGGAGCACUGCUAGGAGGUGGAUGUGCGUCGCUGGGCUUCCCUCGCCACAGGUAUCCAAAGCGUGCCACGUCCCGGGGCCACGCCGUGACCUGGCAGAGGGUCCCAGUGUUUCCAGUCCAAGUUUUGCUUCCAUCUGGCCACCAGAAUGAUGACAGCCCCGCUGCGAUGUCGGUACAGGAUUACGCUACAGCUUGUUCCACCCGAGGGGAGCAUCCAGCCGCUUGCAAAAUGUCUUGCUAAUGGUCAGAUUGACGCGCGACACAGAAACGUGCUCUUUCUGCCGUUCGAGCCAAGCAUGGGAUGGCUGAUAGCAACCUUGGCAGGAACCGGGCAGCCCCAGGAAGCUCGCGCGGACCUUAUUGCACGCUCCUCUACAGCUGUUUUGAGGGGAUCGCGACAGCAGCAGCUUCACUAAACCUACGGAUUGGGAAGGAGCCACAGGUUGCCGGUCGUGCAGAGGACGCUGCCGUUGGCUCUCCACGAGCGUGUGGACAUCUCCCACCGAGCGCGUCGCAGAGGACGUGGGUUACGCAGUGCUUCUGAUGAGCUGGGCUCCUUGGGACAAGAUUCCUCUAUGCCCAGCGCAAAUCACGGUCCUGAGAACCACAGCGGCUCCGGGCAGCACCUCCGUGCUACGUGUCCCGCUUGCGGUGCCUGGAAGGAGGGGUGGUGGGGUGACGUGGCCUGAGCACGCUCGCCGAAUGCCUCCGCUGUUUAUGAGCACCGCGUGCUUUCUUUCAAAGCGACUGAGCACUAAUCAAUACGCUACCCCCCUUCCCCUUCCCGCAGGUGCAAAGCUAAGGCAAGCAAGGGCAAACGCCAUCACACGUUUCCUCCCGACCACCUAAUACCUAAACCCGGGAACAAAAGGCAACACGCAGCGACUUCUUCGUGGCAAACAGCGCGUUUGCGCAAAGCAACAAGCUAAAGUAGGCGAAUACAGAGUUAUUACCAGAGCGGGGGCUCUCCUGCAGGCCAGGCUGGAAACGAUGCCAGCGCCGUCGUUAGCGCUUGGCACUUAGUGCUCGGCGCGUCUGGUGGUACUUGGACACCGUCAAACGAGCUACGCGAGCCGAUGCUGUUCAAAUCGCCCGUUCCCGCAGCGCGCUUGCUUGGGGAACGUCUGUCCUUCCCGAACCCUAACGCGUGCACGAGGCAUUGCUCGGCUCUGGGAAGACGUGAACCCUCCGCCGAACCCACGAGGCAUCGCGGCACCUCGGCAGAUCGGCCACAGCGCGCGUGGACCACGUGUCGCGGAUACCGUCAUCGCCAGAUUGAUAUUCACACCGAGAAGCCAGCUUGGAGCCCACGGCUCGUGUCACCUGCUCGUACAAGGUGUCGGCACAGCCGAGAUUAGCCCUGAAGCAAAUUCCAGAUCAAUAUCCACUCGCGGGAACGCCGGCACUGCCUGAUAACGCGGCAAUGCGCUUCGCUUGGCCUCAGCCGUGUUCCUCCGGCUCUUACUGUGGUCGCGUGCAGUCACCUCCCUGCCUCCAGCGCCCAGCUUCUCCGCCACGCGACUAAACUGCACGAGGACACGGAGAAAUCCUGCUCCCGGGAGCCGGGAGCCGCUGGGUUUGCGUUACCCAGGCUCUGCAGCGUUCUGGGCGUUUUAGCUCGAAAGCUGAGCUCCCCUCGUGCGAUGCCAGUCUUCUGCGUAUCUGCAGGUCACGGGACCCAGCUGCCCGCGGAUGCGGCGUGCCGGGAAAAUGGUAAAUCAGCCUCCUCCAGAUUGACCCACGCUCGAGGCGCGUGUCCUGGGGUGGCCCCAGUGCAGGUGCUGCAGUUGGGUGCAUGGGACGGCUCCAGGCCCACGGGACCGGCUCCAGCCGCAGGGAUGAUGCUUCCGUUCCGUCAGUGGGCUCUCCCCAUUGCAUCCUACUAUGAACCACGAGCAAGACCAGGACUGGAUGAUCCCAAUAAAAACCAGAGGAAUAAAUAUCCAAGUGGAGGAAGCAGUAGGCUGAGUGUAGCUUGCUUAACUGGGGAAGAAGCAAACGUGAUGGAUUCCUGCCUUGAACAGUGCCGGGGCGGCAAGAGGAGCAUGUCCUGCGUCUCCCGUUGGCCUCUGUCUCGUGGUCUCUCACCCUCUUCCUCCUCCUCCUCCUCCUCCCCGGCGCUUGCUGCCCGCAGCCACCCUCCUCUGCCCUCAGCCUUUCCCCAGGUGUUCCCACGCCCCGGGCUGAGGCUCCCGAUGGUCUCUUCCCCCUGCCUCGCUCCGGCGUCGCUUUUUGAAAGCCUGCCCGGAUGCCUUUUCGCAGCUCUCCUCCCGGGAGCGAUGCGGCCCACGCUUCCCCACUGCAGCAGCCCGCGGGUGGCUGGGGAAGCAGGGACCGUGUCUGCCAGCGGCCCGGAAAACAGAGCUGGGCAGCAGAGAAGCGCCGAAGCUGCAGGGACCGGGAAAGCAGCAGCUUCUGUUGUCGUCUGAGCAUGGCAUCGGGCCUGGCGCGGCGCUGGGGGAGAUGCAGCAAGACGCGGUCAGGGGCCGUCACAGCAUGGGUCGAAGAGCUGCUGCGCUGUGUCUCUGACGAGGGAAGGAGCUGGUGGUGGAUCCUGCCCUGGCAGAGCUCCCCUCGCUCCCGAUACGUAAUUUAAAACAAAAUAUUUGGAGAUGGAAGUAUGCAAUUUGAAUUCUUUUACACAUUAUUGAUUUAGAAAUCGUCUUCCUCAGAGAUGCCUCAUACUUGCCAAAGGUAAAUGCCUUUGUCUGCUGUGUUUUGUCUCUUGCCUCUGCUUGAAGUGCUGCAGAAAUUACACAGUCUGAUCCAGCAGAUUAUACUGUUUGCAAAAGGCAGAAAGAGCUGAGAACUAUCCCGGUCUUGCUGACUGUCUCAUUAAUUACUAGGAUUAAACUCCACGGCGGCCACGCAGCAUUAUAAAGAAAAUAUAAAUACGGAAUGAAGGAGCCAAGUUCUGCGUUUGCCGCUGAGCUGUCGUAACGCGUCCAGGCGCGGGGCAGACGGACGAGGACGGCCGCUCUCCUGCCACGCUGCCGGCUGCCAGCUCCUCUUGUGGCCUGCGCGGUCUGGUUUUUCCCGUGUCCCUUUCCCUUUCCGGGUGUAAAUUCGUGACUUUUCCAGCCCGGGGAAGACGCGGACUCCGUCAGCGCUGAGGAAAGCUUGCCUGAAGCUGUUAAAGACAUUUGUACUUUGUGUAAGAGAGGAGCAAAGCCUGCGCGGAGCAAGGGAGGACGGGGACAUGCUUGAAGCAGAGGCUUGGAACCGCCCGAGGAAAAACCAGGCUGACGCGCAGCACUUCUGGAACGCAAGCUGAUGAUGGUGGAGCGCUGAGGAAUACAACUGCCUCUCCUCUGCACCGCGAGCAGCAGCCCAGGCUUCCGUGCACAACGGCACGCACGUUGCAAGGGCUUUUAUUUCCCCGACGGGCAUACUGAAGUGGAACGUCUGAUCACUGGGAUAAACACUUCCCAAGAUAAAGUCAUUUUGCCUUUGAUUGAUAAAGAACAUCCUGAGAAGAGAAUUGGAACUGUGCCAGCAUGUGCGGCAGAAUUGCAUCUUCUUUGACUGGAUGACCGGUACCUUCUGCCUUUAAAAGGGAGAACCACCAUGGCCAAGGGGGCACAUCAACUACCUGCAGGCUUCGUAUCUGGCAGCUCCUCAGACUCCCCUCUGCUAGGAAAGCUAACUGCAAAGAUUGUAAUGAACUGCUGAAAGGCUUCCAGGCAAGAAAUGCUCCAACUUUGAUUACAAAACAGGAAAUAUGAGUGGCGCCUUGUGAGAGCCACUGGUUUCCAAGGAGAGGAGUUGACCGCACAAGCGACAACGAUGCAACCCAGCGUGGAGGAAGCGCAGAGGUACUGAAUGGAGCCAAUGCACCUGCAGAGGGAGGAAGCACAGUGAACGGACAGAGAUGUCAGCGUGGGGGUGCAAUGAAUCCUUUGGUACCCAACCACCUGGUCAUUCCCAAAGGACACUGUACCGCUCCUCUCACCAUUGCAACUAAGGGAAAUAUUUCAUGAAGUCCACAGUAAUGGACUCAAGCCAGGGAGGCCAGAGGAGCACCCCUGCUGCUCCACGGAUCACAGAGGGGCAGAGACAUGCUUCUAGCCUGGCCGCGAAGGGUGAGCAGCCACACAUGCUGCCCCGCACUGCAGCCCACCGUAGCUGCCCGGACACCAUGAUGGCCACCCGGUCGCACACUGCCUCCGCCUCCUCCAUGUAGUGUGUUGUCAAAAUUGCUCCUUGCUCCUUGUUUUUCAGUGCAGCACGAAUCAUUUUCCUGAAGAUACAGAGGGGAAAAAAAAAAAAAGCCAACACUUCCUAAGUAUAUCAAAUGCUUCUUAUUAUACCUUUGCUGCUCGAAACACCUCUUCUCCUAUAAUAAGUAUAAAAAGAUAUAACAACUUUAGACUGAUGUGCACAUGACAGCACUUUGAAGAAAAUGACAAAUUUUUAAUCUUGACUCAAGCCCUUCCAUAGCUUCUUCUGAAACCCACGUAUAACUGUUGAGAAACUACAUUGUCUACUGGGUUGAAUUCACAACAGGGUUUUUCCUUCCCUUCGCACAGACUUUAAGCUAGGGAGGAUCAGGAAAGCGGAGUUUCCAGCAAAACUGUUGGCAACAGGCUAACAGCGCUAACCACGGAGUGGGUAAACUUCUUUCUACCUGUCUCUGGGCGCCUGCUCUUGGCUUCCAGCCCCUUUACCCCGCAGCACAGUGCCCGAGGCACGACUCACCAGACGCGUUGCUGCCCGUUGGGGUCCAUGCCGGUCGACACCUCGUCCAGAAGCAGGACCGUGGGGUUACCCAGCAUGCACACCGCAAAGCACAGCUACAACAGGGAAAGAUUUUUGAGCCAAAUCUUCCACGAUGCCUGGCACUGUGUGUGCAAGCACCUCUGGGCAGCAUUUAACUCACUUUAUCUACGAGAACCAGGGUUCUGAUUUAUAGGAAACGUGAACCUGGAAAACACUAGCUUACAUCACCUUCAAAUUGUGUUUCCUCUGUUUCCUGACACAGGAGCGGUGCCAGUUUGAUGCCAAACUGCGCAGAUCGACCUUGUCAUCCACAUCUCCAUAAACCGAGGUGGGUAAUCUGUCAUCCUGAUCCACCAAGAUCCUCCUUCCAUGUAAAAUGAACUCAGUUUUCUUGCCUCCCUUCCUCACAAGUGAAGAUGUGGCAGCAGUUAGUGCUCUCUGAACGGACAAGCUGCGAUUUGGGUCUGAGCCCACCCUGAAGCUGUCAGGAGAUGCUCCAUCCCAGCGCAGCCGCUGAUCCAACGUGAAACUUCUGUCGUGUUAAGCGCGGGGGAAUUGUACACGUGUUUACAUUCAGCGUCUUUUAGGAAAUGAACAUUCCUAAAUAAAGAUGCAUCCCGCAGCUCGGCACCAUAGCUUACCUGCUGGCAGUUGAUCACAAAGCCCAGCAGCGAGUACGUCGGAAACAAGAGAGACAUGAUGUAGAGGGAAAUUUUAGGAUCUGAUGAGUAAUCCAUGACUCUGCUGAUAAUAAACAAAACCAAACCUACCUAAAAAUGAAACAAGAAGGCAACUUAGCUGACAGGAAGGGUUACACCUCUUCACCGGCGCUAAGAAUUACAUGCAUCAAUAUUUUUAGGUCCCUGUUGAAUUUCUGACAAUGGGCAACGAACACAGAGACAAGAAACGCUGAGGGUUCAGGAGCUCCUCAGCCAUCUCUGCCUGAGUGAAGGCUGCUGCUUUGGGUCUGCCAGGAAAACUCCUCCCCAGACACAGGCCUGCUUUGGGCAGGAGAACGAGGUUAAUCAGAAGAGGGGCAACGAUGUGGAUCGCUCCAUGGCUCUCCCUGGGACUGGCUGCCUUGUUCCUGCUUCCACAACUAAUCACCCUCCCGUGCAAGAGAGGGAGAGCAAAAGGCUGGGGGAAAGCAGAGGAACUGACACUGAACAGAAAAAGAUCUUGACUUUCCAGAGCGUGGAUAAAGUCUUCAAUGCCUGAUCCUAGUGUGAAAGCCAGAAGUGGAGGAGUCACAAUAUUGAACUAUUAAAUAUUGAAUGAGACUGCCUUUUUCCUUUUUUGGAUCCCUGAUGACCAAACAAAAACAGAGAAAAUCUAAUGACUAUGGAAGUCAGACAGCAUUUACGAGACAGCCUGGAGUUGUAUAUGGUUGCAGAACCUGUUUGCAGGAAUAAACACAACGAGGUGGAAUGAACUUCUCUUGAUCCACAGUUUUUAAAUCCAGCCCACCCCUCCACCACUUCCCCUCUACAUCCUACCUUCAGAAGG